rnacentral:sRNA from 1 species
AUGAAUAGUCGAUCUCAGCAACAGAGACUUCAAUCUAAGUGGAAGCCUCCCCUUCUUGAAUUACACUGUCCUCAGUGUUUGAUGUAGAGACAUGUUGAGUUGGCAGCUUUCGCUCAUGUCUGAUAGUGAUUGCGUGUGCAGUGGCGUACUCCUUAGGGUUUUUGAUUGCUUUUCCUGGAAGCUGGCCUGGGUUGUUUGUAACAGGUGGUGAAGUAGUGAUGCCGUCCAGAUACCGUACCCUUGUGUUCAAUGAUUCCAACCUGCUACUCAGUUCAUUGAACUGUCUGUCAACUUUGUUGUUUAAGUCAGCUAGCUUCUUAGCAGAUUCCAUUACCCCUGCGGCUUGACCUUGCAUGAUCUGUUGGAGCAUAUUCUUGAUGUCUGAUUCCUGGGGUGUAGAGGGCUGAUGUUGUUGUGGUGUGAAACCAGGUGGUGGCUGUUGCUGUUGAUACCCUCCUUGGAACUGUUGCUUAGGAACGAACCCUUGACUUUGGUUGUAAGUAACAAACGGUUUGGGUUGGUUCUGCUGCAGCUGCUGUUGAGGGUAAACUUGGUCCUGAGGAUUGGCGACAUUUGUGCUUCUGUAUGACAGAUUUGGGUUGGGUCUGUAAUUGUUGUACCCUUUGUUGUAGCCGCCUUGGUUCUGAACAUAACUGAUUUCAGCGCCCUGAUCAUUCUCCCCCUCUUGGAUUUGGAAUUCUUCGUCUUCAGAGGCGAAGUGAACAUGCUUCUGCUGCACUUUGAGGAGUUUGUCAAUUUUGUCAUGGAGAGCUUUAAUCUCUCGGCGGUGCUUGUCAUCAGAUUCAGUACUGGUGCGGAUGCUUCUGUCAUAAUCCUCGUUGUAAUUGCAAUCCGACUGAGCCAAGUUUUCAACUAGCUCCCAUCCGUCUUCGACAUCCUUGUUCAGGAAAUUCCCAUUGGAGGCGGUGUCAAGGAGCAUGCGUAUCUUAGGCAGGACGCCUCUGUAAAGUGUGCUGAGAAGAGAUGCUUCCUUAAAUCCGUGAUGGGGGCAUUUGGUUUGAUAACCCUUAAACCGCUCCCAAGCUUCACAGAAGCUUUCAUUUUGCUUCUGAGUGAAUCCGGAUAUCUCGUUCCAGAGUCUUGCAGUCCUGAAGUUGGAGAAGAAUUUUGCCAAGAAGGUCCUUUUGCAGUCAUCCCAGGUCGUGAUUGAUCCCUGGGGUAGCGUCUUUUCCCACAUAUGGGCUUUAUCUCCAAGUGAAAAUGGAAACAAGCGAAGCUUGAAACCAUCUUCACUAACUCCAUUGAUUUUAGUAAGGCCACAGAGCCUUUCAAACUCGUCAAGAUGAUCUAGCGGAUCCUCCAUUGGCAGGCCAUGAAACUUGUUCCCCUGAACCAUUGCAAUGAGACCGCUUUUGAUCUCAAAGUUGUUGUUCUGUAUUGGAGAUGGAACAAUUCCAUGACGCUGGUUGUGGUUGUGAGGGAAGUCACCAGCACCAAUGUUGGUAGGUUGCUCUUGCUCAUCUACAACGUCAGCCAUUGUGUCGGUUUCUGUCUGUUCUCUUAGUUGGCGAGCAAUACGGUAGAUGUUAUCGUUGAAUAGGAGAUUCUGAUUUCCUUGUGACCGUGUAUGCAUGCAACAGAUAGCAGCCGGGCUAUAACAGACGAAUCAGAGAUGCGUCUGGAAAGCGGGUUGCAAGGUACCUGAAACACAAAGACAGAAAAGGCACAAUGUUAGUAACUUGUGUAACAAAAACGAACCUGAUCUUAAUGUUUCUAAUGAUCUCAAAUAUAGCAAACAAACAUCAAACUGGCAACGGCGCGAAAUUGAUAGUAGGAUUUUUGUCAAUUAAUCCCUAAAACAUUAUCUUGUCGUUGUAGUAUUUUAGGAUGUCAAUCUAAUCCGGUGUGAUGCAAAAAGAUGAGAUAUGAUCAGAAAGCUCUAAGUCAAGCCAAGCAGAUGGUUGGUUGGUUCUAACAGUCCUAGUAUGCAAUAACAGAAAUGAAAUGAAACUAAAAGCAGGAAUGGCAAUAGCAGGCAAGUGAAUGACAAAGCAGAAAUGAUAACAGGCAAUCAAAUGGAUAAACGAUUC